rnacentral:rRNA from 1 species
UUCACUCCCAACCCAAUGUGAACGUUACCAAACUGUUGCCUCGGCGGGAUCUCUGCCCCGGGUGCGUCGCAGCCCCGGACCAAGGCGCCCGCCGGAGGACCAACCAAAACUCUUAUUGUAUACCCCCUCGCGGGUUUUUUUAUAAUCUGAGCCUUCUCGGCGCCUCUCGUAGGCGUUUCGAAAAUGAAUCAAAACUUUCAACAACGGAUCUCUUGGUUCUGGCAUCGAUGAAGAACGCAGCGAAAUGCGAUAAGUAAUGUGAAUUGCAGAAUUCAGUGAAUCAUCGAAUCUUUGAACGCACAUUGCGCCCGCCAGUAUUCUGGCGGGCAUGCCUGUCCGAGCGUCAUUUCAACCCUCGAACCCCUCCGGGGGGUCGGCGUUGGGGAUCGGCCCUGCCUUGGCGGUGGCCGUCUCCGAAAUACAGUGGCGGUCUCGCCGCAGCCUCUCCUGCGCAGUAGUUUGCACACUCGCAUCGGGAGCGCGGCGCGUCCACAGCCGUUAAACACCCAACUUCUGAAAUGUUGACCUCGGAUCAGGUAGGAAUACCCGCUGAACUUAAGCAUAUCAAUAAGCGGAGGAA